GAUGAACGCUAACGGCAGGCCUAAUACAUGCAAGCCGAACGGCAAGCCUUGUAGCAAUACGAGGCCUAGAGUGGCGCAAGGGUGCGUAACACGUAUGCAAUCUGCCCACAACAGGAGGACAGCUCCCCGAAAGGGGAAUUAACCCUCCAUGGGACCACACGAGGGCAUCCGAGAGUGGUUAAACCAAAAGGGGUUGUGGAUGGGCAUGCGGUUGAUUAGCUGGUUGGUAGGGUAACGGCCUACCAAGGCGAUGAUCAAUAGGGGAACUGAGAGGUUUGUCCCCCACACUGGCACUGAGAUACGGGCCAGACUCCUACGGGAGGCAGCAGUAGGGAAUAUUGGACAAUGGGCGGGAGCCUGAUCCAGCCAUGCCGCGUGCAGGAAGAAGGCCUUCUGGGUCGUAAACUGCUUUGCAGGGGAUAAAAGCCCGUGCGCGGGAAAUUGAAGGUACCUGGUGAAUAAGCCACGGCU
rnacentral:rRNA from 1 species